rnacentral:tRNA from 2 species
GUGCCGUGCGGCGGGGCGGACCGCAGCGCGAGCAGUUCCAGGUCGCUGACCCCGUGCCGGUUCCACGCCAGCACGGCGCG